GACAGAGGGUGCAAACGUUGUUCGGAAUUACUGGGCGUAAAGCGUGCGCAGGCGGUUGUGCAAGACAGAUGUGAAAUCCCCGGGCUCAACCUGGGAAUUGCAUUUGUGACUGUACGGCUAGAGUGUGUCAGAGGGGGGUAGAAUUCCACGUGUAGCAGUGAAAUGCGUAGAGAUGUGGAGGAAUACCGAUGGCGAAGGCAGCCCCCUGGGAUAACACUGACGCUCAUGCACGAAAGCGUGGGGAGCAAACAGG
rnacentral:rRNA from 1 species